rnacentral:rRNA from 1 species
GACGAACGCUGGCGGCGUGCCUAAUACAUGCAAGUAGAACGCUGAAGGAGGAGCUUGCUCUUCUGGAUGAGUUGCGAACGGGUGAGUAACGCGUAGGUAACCUGCCUGGUAGCGGGGGAUAACUAUUGGAAACGAUAGCUAAUACCGCAUAACAGUAGAUGUUGCAUGACAUUUACUUAAAAGGUGCAAUUGCAUCACUACCAGAUGGACCUGCGUUGUAUUAGCUAGUUGGUGGGGUAACGGCUCACCAAGGCGACGAUACAUAGCCGACCUGAGAGGGUGAUCGGCCACACUGGGACUGAGACACGGCCCAGACUCCUACGGGAGGCAGCAGUAGGGAAUCUUCGGCAAUGGACGGAAGUCUGACCGAGCAACGCCGCGUGAGUGAAGAAGGGUUUCGGAUCGUAAAGCUCGGUUGUAAGAGAAGAACGAGUGUGAGAGUGGAAAGUUCACACUGUGACGGUAUCUGACCAGAAAGGGACGGCUAACUACGUG